GAAACAAUGAAAACAAAAGGAGUUACAAGAGAUGGUCUUUAAAAACAGUUUCUGAAGUUCAAAAUUAUUCUUCUACCAUUCAUAAUCUACUCAGAGACUUAUUCUGCACAGGCAGCAUCCUCCUAAAACUAGCAGAAGACUGGAGUUUUCCUUCUGGAAAUAUCGAAAUAUACAGGCUUUGAACGCAGGGAUACCAGGCAUAACAAGGGGCAAGUAUACGGAGGCUAUACUUAAAUUAAGAGUAUUAAGAGAAAGUGAGCAGAGUGACUGUGAACAUCCUUCCCUCCCCAGAUGAUGGGUAGGUGGUUUCUACAUUUGGAAAAUAUUCAGAAAUAAGUAUAUCAUGGUCACUAAUGCU